rnacentral:tRNA from 1 species
UCACUGGUGGUCCAAUGGUUAAGACUCUGCACUUGCAAUGCAGAGGGCACAGGUUUGAUCCCUGAUCAGGGAA